rnacentral:tRNA from 1 species
GCCAAAGUAGCUCAGUGGGGAGAGCGUUAGACUAAAGCUCUAAAGGUCCCUGGCUCAAUCCCAGGCUUUGGCA